rnacentral:rRNA from 1 species
GGGAUUGCCCUAGUAACGGCGAGUGAAGCGGCAAGAGCUCAAAUUUGAAAGCUGGCCCCCUCGGGGUCCGCAUUGUAAUUUGCAGAGGAUGCUUCGGGAACGGCCCCCAUCUAAGUGCCCUGGAACGGGCCGUCAUAGAGGGUGAGAAUCCCGUCUGGGAUGGGGUGGCCGCGCCCGUGUGAAGCUCCUUCGACGAGUCGAGUUGUUUGGGAAUGCAGCUCUAAUUGGGUGGUAAAUUUCAUCUAAAGCUAAAUAUUGGCCGGAGACCGAUAGCGCACAAGUAGAGUGAUCGAAAGAUGAAAAGCACUUUGAAAAGAGAGUUAAACAGCACGUGAAAUUGUUGAAAGGGAAGCGCUUGCGACCAGACUCGCCCGCGGGGUUCAGCCGGCACUCGUGCCGGUGUACUUCCCCGCGGGCGGGCCAGCGUCGGUUUGGGCGGCCGGUCAAAGGCCUCUGGAAGGUAACGCCUCUCGGGGCGUCUUAUAGCCAGGGGUGCCAUGCGGCCUGCCCGGACCGAGGAACGCGCUUCGGCUCGGACGCUGGCAUAAUGGUCGUAAGC